AGGUGAACAAUGCUAAAAUCUAUCAGUUAUUACGUUCAGGAAUUUUGAGUAAAAAUGAAUACCUUAAUGUUCCUCGCUGUCAUUGUAGUUCUUUUUAUUUCCCAUCGUGUAAAUGCCUAUGGAUCAUUAAGGAAUCAGAUUCCUAAUGGUUUUUCUGUGAAAAACCCAUGUAGUAUGUUUGGUCAAACUUGGACUGGAGUUGGACAUAGGACAGCUAAUGGCGGUGGAGCACUAAAUUCGUUUGGUGAGGCCUUUGAAAGAGCUGGACUAGUAUGGAGUCUCGAACUAUGUUUUGAAGAUUCUGAUGGUGAUGGUUUAACUAACGGUCAAGAAUUAGGCGACCCUAACUGUCAGUGGUCAGAAGGCGAGCCAGUGCCUUCUCAAGCGCGAGGGCACCCAGGUAUAUGUCAACCAGUUGGAUCAUCUAACUGCCAGCAUCAACGAUUGAGGUGCUAGAUACUAAAUGAAGUAAUCUACUAAUUGAAUGGUUCUAACUAAUUACAUUGAAUAGUGUUUGAAUAAAUGCAAAGUGUAUGUGGCAAUAAA